rnacentral:rRNA from 1 species
GUCGGCAGCUAGCUCUCUGCAACUCUUACCAACUGAAGCUAAGCAAGGCUGCGCCCAGUCAGUACCCUGAUGGGAGACCACAUGGGAAUGCUAGGUUGCUGCCGGAA